UUACUUACCUGUCAGGGGAGACACCAUGAUCUGGAAGGUGGUUUUCCCAGGGUAAUUGUCUCUGAUAUGUCCUCCAUAGGAGGUCUAUAUUGAGCAGAUUCUUUUUGGUAUUGGGUGGUGGAACCGGAGCGUGCUCCAUCCACUC
rnacentral:snRNA from 1 species